ensembl:lncRNA
GCUUUCUUCAAAGGCAGUUUAACAUCACCAGGUGGGUGUUUGUUAAGUCCCUGAAAAAUUGCCUUAAUGGUCCUUGUAUAGGUUCAAAUCCUUGGAAUUCUGUCUGUGACCUCUUCUCUCAGAAAGGCAAAACAUGGAUGGCAGUGAUAAAGCUUUGCUUUUGGGAGUCAGGAUUCAUUUUGAGCAGAGCCAAAAAGAGCUUUGGAAGAUGAGCUCUCUGCUAUUCCAAUAACAGAGCAAAAAAUUAUCUCUUCUGAGAGCUUGAAGAAAAAAAUGUCCAAACAGUUGGCCCGUUCAUUCUGUGGAUCAACAAAAUUCCUGCAGAUCAACAAAAUUCCUGCAGUGAAGAGGAAUCCAGAAAAUGGAAUCUUGUUUAACCUUGUUUAAUCCAAUUCUUCAGUCUUCUGUCAUGUAUCUUAUAUGGCUCUUUUGCCCACCCAAAUUGCAAAUGUGGGAAGAAAGACACCUUCAUUACUGAGAACUCAGACAUGAUGGAUGAUGAUGUAAUGAUUGAUUUGCCAUUGCUGGAAAACUGAGCUGUACAUGUUAAAACCUCAUUGGAGAGAAGCAAGAUUAAACAAGAAUGUGGCUAUUAAUGUGGUUCGGAGAAACAUGAAAUAAUGUGCCUUUGGAGGCUUUUAAUGCAUACACAAAUGUAUAGUUUUAUAAACAUACUCAUAAAUAGUUAUCAGUCAAUCACUCAUGUAUGCUACAAAUACUGCUGAGCACCUACUAAGUUGAAAAAAAAAUGUGUAUGAUGUUGGAAUAUAGAAAGAAAAACAAGACAGUGAGAACUUGGUUUCAAAGAAUGCAUGGCUUAUAACUGAGGUAUGGCAUAGACCCAGCAGUCCCCAACCUUUUUGGUACCAGGGUCCGGCUUCAUGGAAGACAAUUUUUCCGUGGACCAGUGGGCAGUGUAGGUGUGGGUGUGUGUGUGUGUGUGUAGGCACACAUUUUGGGGAAGUGGUUUCUGGAUGGCUCAAGU